rnacentral:rRNA from 1 species
CCCUUAGAUGUUCUGGGCCGCACGCGUGCUACACUGAGUGGAUCAGCGGGUCAGGUUGCGCGAAAGCGUUUCCUAAUCUUUAAAUCCGCUCGUGAUGGGGAUUGACGGUUGCAAUUUUCUGUCAUGAACGAGGAAUACCUUGUAAGCGCGGGUCAUCAUCCCGCGCUGAAUACGUCCCUGCCCUUUGUACACACCGCACGUCGCUCCUACCGAUUGAGUGGUCCGGUGAGGCUUUGGGAUCUGAGCGGAAAGAGCGUUUCGCUGUUUCUGCUCGGAAAACUCAGUCGAACCUUAUCAUUUAGAGGAAGGAGAAGUCGUAACA